CUUGUGGAUCUCUGUUUGUGCGAUUUUGAGAUUGAUUACUGUCAGGUUUGUUUUCAGUUCUGUUGUAGCUAUUGACAAACAGUUAAACUGAUGAAACCUGGUGGUGAGAACAUAAUCACUGGUUUUCAAUUUUAGAAGUUUAUCAUCAGUAGUGGGUGUUUAAAAGAUUUGUCUACUGUAGUGCCUAGACAACAUUUCUUUAGCUUUAAUGAACAAAGAAUUAAAAUUAAGGUGCCAAAUUUGCAGUAUCUCCAAACGAGAAGUAUCUGCAUGUAAAAAUGUCCACUUGAUAAACAUUGCAACCAUCUCUCUUCCCAGUUAUAUCCAUUGUUAGUUCAAUCUAAAUCGUUACUACACAAACAAAGCUCUGUUCCAUUUACUGUACUUAAAUCACACAGCUCAAUAUUGGCAAGGAAAUUAUGUGUGUCAGCCUGGCAUGCAAAUGAAACAGACAGAAUGCCAAUCAUGUUGCAGACUCCUCAUCAUUGUUCAUUUAGAGCAGGCGUGCCCAAAAGGUAGAACCCCAAAUUUUUAAAACUACAGCUUCCUUGAUGCUUUGUCAUUAUAAAUGCAUUCUAAAGGCCUGCAAAGCAUCAUGGGAGUUGUAGUUCUACAACAUUUGGGGCUCUACCGUUUGGUCACCCCUGAAUUAGAGAGUACACUUGUUUGUUUUACUUAUGGGGCUUUUCUCUGUUCCUCCAAACAUGGGAUACAAAAAAAAAAAAAAAAACCCAUAAACUUUUAUUUAAUAUUAUUUUAUUGCUUUAUUUGGACCAAAUUUUGAACUAUUUCUCAUAACCCUGAGUUUAUUUGUAUGGCCUAGGGUGUGUCUUCCAUAUUUGUUUCAUGUAAAAUAAAAUAGAACAUUUUUAAGAGACCAAUGCCAAUGUUAUCCUUAUUCAGUUCACUGAUAUAGGCAUUUACAAAAAAUAGCAAACCCUCCCACACAAACAGUCCUAUCCAGUAUCAAAAAGUGCAAGAAAAAAUAAUCCACAAAGAUCAGUUUUUAUGCUUUAAAUGAUCUCUCCUGAUUUUUACUUUGAAGACUGUUAACCAAGCACAUUUCUUUGUAUGUAUAUUGAGAGACAUUUAAGUGACACGGUCACUUUUCUAGUUGCAAAUCAUUUAAAUUGCAGAAUAGAAAUCACUUUUAAGUAGGCUUGACAUUGUAAAAUAUUGCAC